rnacentral:tRNA from 1 species
CGGGCCGUGGCGCAGUUUGGCUAGCGCGCUUGAAUGGGGUUCAAGAGGUCGCCGGUUCAAGUCCGGCCGGCCCGACCA